CAAGAAUAACUAUUUUGUUAUAAAUUAUAGAGCCAAGUUAAUAUUUGGGCAUAUUUUUACCAGAGUUAGCUUUUAGAAACGUGGUUUUUCUAAUUGAGCAAUGUGCGUGGCUAAAAUUGUGAAUACAAAACCUUAAAUUUGAGUUUGAAAAUGCAUACACGACCGAAGAAACAUAUAAGCUGCUAAAAUAAAUCUUCCCUAGAACUGUUGUACAAAAAAGAUAGAAGUUCCAGCAACAAAUUUAUCACCAGUUCAACCUUUGAUUUGAUGUAAACAGUAAUUGUUUCUUGAUGAGAAAUGCGAAUGAAAUAGUUUAUGGUGUGAUUGUGUUAGUGUUUUAUUAAUAGUUUUGUUGAUGCAGUUUAAAGGUUCAUAGUUUUUCAUUAAAACAUUUGAAAUUGACAUGUU